rnacentral:tRNA from 1 species
CCGGGGCCGGGAGGGUAUCCAGGACCCUACCGUGGCCCCUGGGGCUAUCCCGGGCCGCAAGGACCUGGUUGGUAUCCAGGCCCCUGGG